GCAAGUCGAGCGCACCCCUUCGGGGGCGAGCGGCGGACGGGUUAGUAACGCGUGGGAACGUACCCUUCUCUAAGGAAUAGCCGCUGGAAACGGAGAGUAAUACCUUAUACGCCCUUCGGGGGAAAGAUUUAUCGGAGAAGGAGCGGCCCGCGUUAGAUUAGAUAGUGGGUGGGGUAAUGGCCUACCAAGUCUACGAUCUAUAGCUGGUUUUAGAGGAUGAGC
rnacentral:rRNA from 1 species